UACAGAGGGGGCAAGCGUUGUUCGGAAUUACUGGGCGUAAAGGGCGCGUAGGCGGCCGCCUAAGUCAGACGUGAAAUCCUCGGCUCAACCGGGGAACUGCGUCUGAUACUGGAUGGCUUGAAUCCGGGAGAGGGAUGCAGAAUUCCAGGUGUAGCGGUGAAAUGCGUAGAUAUCUGGAGGAAUACCGGUGGCGAAGGCGGCAUCCUGGACCGGCAUUGACGCUGAGGAGCGAAAGCGUGGGGAGCGAACAGG
rnacentral:rRNA from 1 species